GAGAAGAAUCCUCCUUGAAUGGGGACACCUCUCAAGGUCAUUUCAUGCCUGUGCAGAAUUCACCCAGUAUGUGGUGAUGCCUUGCUGACAGAUCCUUGAAAAGAAUAUCCAAUGUUAACAACACUGAGUACCUGCACACUUAAUCAAAGAAUAGGAUACAGGGUUUCUUGGUAGGUUCCAUAUCACCUGAAAAAACAGCAUUUCCUGUGUGAAUACCAGGAAGAGGAGGCAUUAGAGAUCUGUGGAGCCAGGGAUUGGAGCCUUCGGCGUUAAGCAGCCUCUGCUGUUCCCUAAAAAGCAGCAGUGAUCAUUGAAGCUUCAGGGAAAGAGAAAAGAACUGACAGUGAAUUAGACAGUGGUAGUGAUAAGAAUAUACAAGACUUGCUGUGCUGCGUAAAACUCCUGUGAUGAUGAGGGAGAUAUCUGUGGACUGAUUCCACUUUUGGCCCAGGUUUCCAUCAUCUCAAGAUUUGUGUGAGGAGCCAUCUCCUUAUGAACAGGCAAGUGUUUCCAAAAUUUAAAUUCAGUUUGAAAACAAAGCUAAUGUUAAAGUUUCAGCAACAACCAACACCGCUGCCUGAUUGUUUUUAUGCAAGAGCAGCACUUGAAAGAUGAGUCUCCUUUCCAGUCUGCAUGCUCUCCCCUGGCCUCCUCCAUCAUUUCAGAAUCAAUAGCUGUUUCUGAUUGCACCCCUCCCCUCCAGACCCUGCUCUUUGCUACCUCAUUUUGAUUUUAAUUUACCACUGCAAAAUUGCAGUCAUUUUUCCCCCAUCGUAAUUAAGAAACCUAUCCAUUAAGGAGACUGAAAACAAAAACAAAGCCUUCUUAUCUGAGCCCUUAGCACAGAACAGAGACAGAAAUGAUUGGUGAGAAGAUCAGGUCUAGAAAGCCGAGCCCUUUAUUGAUUCUUCUGGCCUUUCUCAGUAAAUAUAGAAUGAGUUUUAAAUUCACCUAGAAGGAAGCUAAAAGCCAGCGUGAAGUGCUGACUUCCCAACAUGAAAGAAUAAAGGAAUAGUGUCUUCUCACCUGAUUCACUUUUUAUUCUCUCUGUGGUGAAUGUUUCUUUGUACCUUGCUUUAAUUCUAUUUCAGUUUUAGCGUGUUUUGCUAUAACUUGACAUCGCUUGUGACUUUCCAAAGAGUAAUGGUCUUGACCUAACUUUUGGAAGAGCCUUGAGAUCAGUGCAUGAAGGUGAUUAGAAAAGCUGUUGCAAGCAAAUGUCCUCCUUUGGCUCAGUCAACAGCACUGAGCACUUGAGUUAAUAAGCAUCAAGGGACCGUGAAGGAGGACUCUACCAUUCGGUUCAUUUCACACUAGUGCUAAGCUGUGUUAUUACAGACACAAAAAGGGAGUCAACCCAAAGAAACCCCCAGGUAGUAUACAGGGUACAGUCCACUGCACAUGGAAAUUUUUGUGGAAGGUGCUCAUCAGCAACAUAGGAACAAUGUAGGAAAAAGUCAGAGAUGGAAUGGAAAUGAGAUGGGAAAUGCCUAAAUAGGGUUUGAAGUUCGAACUUUCACUGUACUGAUGUGGAGUAAUCAUAUUCUCUAUUCUGAAGAGAGGGAAAGCUACUGUAGACUUUUACACUUCAUCCCCUCUGUCCUUUUCCUUGUAGUAGUAGAUGCAGUAGAUACUUUCUGUGGUACCUAUCUGAGCACAAACUCUUGGAUGUGAAUAAAAGUUGGAUCUGGCUCCUUGCUGUCCUCUAAAUGCUUACACCUUAGAGAGAUGCAUGGCUAGCUGGUUAAUUCCUUCAGCAUCUCUGUGCAUAGUCAGAGCCUCCUAAGAUGGGUCUUACAUUUAAAAUAGCAGGAACUGGAUGGGGAUAGAGCUAAUUGGGCUAGAAUUACUGUGGCACUUCAGAUUGUUACUUUGUCCACUGGGACCCCAAAAACAAAGCACCCUGUCCAUCCAGUGGAUUUAAGUGAAUCUAGUGAGUUUGGGAACUAGGAUUCAGUCAUUCAUUUGUUGUUGGCACCUUGUUUGUAAUAGAGAUCAGCACUAGCUGAGAGGCUGGUCUAUCACCUGAAACUGGAAAAGGUGUAGAGGAGGGUUACAAAGGAGCCAAGGACACAGGGGAGAUGAUGUGCAAGUAAAUGUGGGUGUUGAGUCCUUCUUCUGUGUGGCACAGAGGAGGCUAAAGGUUGGGGAGUUACAAAAGCAGUGGAACCAAAUUCUUAGAGGUAGUAGUAGAUGGUAAGAGAAAAGCAAGGGAAAGAAAUGGUGUUUUGGGAAACUCAGGCAGGACAUAAGACAAAACUUCUUCAUAAGGUGAGGGGGGCAGCGUUGGUACAGGUACUGAAAGAAAUGGCAGUCAUCAUAGAGGGAGGUUUCAAAGUCUAGCAUGGAUAAUCUGUUGGUGACAGUACUCUUUCAGAGGGAGGUUGGAUGAGAAUUCUAGAGGUGCCUUAAAAGCACUGUUUCUGUGGCCCAUUGACUACAGAUAUCAAUUGAUGCAAGGAAAGACCUGUAUGAGCUAAGCUGUAACUUGCACAACGGCAACUUUGAUCUUAUCUCAACUCCAUUAGAGUAUAUGUGAAUGUAUUAUUAGACAGUCUUCAGUUGUUUGCAUAGGAAAGUUAUUUUAAGGUAUUUGUGAUUGUCAUUUACUAAGUAUAAACAGCUGAACUUAUUUUGUACCAUGUUAAAACUGUGUCAACAGCAUCUUGCGCUCUUGUACCAGAUCAACUAGAUUUGGUUAUUACAAUGCAUAGACGCAUUGGCACAGUCCAAAGCUUUUGAAUGUAGUGGUCUUUUGAGGCCUCCAGCAACUUCUUUUUCUGGAUCAUUAAUUCCCACACUCUGUGUACAUCUGUUAACUUUUUGAUGUAACACGUUCAGAUGUAGGCAAGUCUUCUGAUUUCAUCGGAACUACAGUAAGCUUAGAGCUCACUGAGUUGUAACUCAAUUUUUUAUCUUCAUUGAAUAGGAAUAAGUCUUGUCACUAAUUACUUUUUUCUUUGUGUUAAAUCUGUCCUGCUUGAGCUGUAAUGCAGAGAAUGGCGGUGACCUAUGUAAGUGAAGAUAAAUCCAAGCUCUUGUCUGAAGUUGGUAAAAUGCAAGCCAGUUUCAACCUGGACUUACAGGCAUGGCAGUAAGAUUGAGAUACUGCGCUGUUAUGUGUGCAGGAGGUACUGCUGGGAAAGGUCUGUCAAGCUGGAAUAGUACCCAACCUUUUUCAGCUGUAGGGCACAGUCCACAGUGCUUUCAAAGAAUAAUUUUUUCAUACGUGAUGGAAGAAAAAAAAAGGCAUUUGAACUUCUGUAACAAAUUCCAACUGAGCCUGGAAGACUCAAGUGCAGUCUAACUUCUGUCUCAGAUCAGCGGUCUUCUCAGGAGCCAUAUGCAGGUCCAGGUUGCAGACAUUGGGUUUCUGGGUGUAUAACUUGAGACACUGUUUCACCCAGUGACGCUGGCAGCCCGGAAGGAAAGGGUUUUGUAUGAAGAUAAACCCUGACCAGGAAGAAGAAGCUGCAGAGCACAGCUCAACUAAGUACCUUGGGUACCUCUACUUCACAAAGAUCCCUAUGCAUCAUCCCAAAAGCCAAGUGCUUCCUCUUUUACACGGCCCAGCACAGAACCAGAAACUGCUCCUACUGACAUCUUAAAGAUUAUAACCAUAAUAAAACCAUAAUACGUAGCACCAUUUGUAGCUUUUCCCCAUCCCCCCUUUCCUGAAUCUGGGAAAGGAUAAUAAAGCACAAUAAUAAACCUCCACACAAAAAGAAAUUUUGCAAGGCUUUGGGUAUGCAGCUUUCAAGUUUCAUUUCUGCAUACAAAGUUGUGCUGUAUCAGCAUUCUGUAUUCAUGAUGCUGAUACAUUUUUGAAUUUUGUUGGGGGGGGGGGUGUUUUUACUUUUGUUUUUUAAAUAAGGGAAUUAGGUUUCACAACUCAUUAAUUAAGUCUCAGAACUCAUUCUGUCUUCUUAUUGCUACUUCAUUGCUCCUUCAUUGUCAUGAACUGCAGAGAGCAGUCCACAGGACAAAGUUCUUAGAAUGUAAACUGUUUUCUCCUUUGCUUUGUGCUUAUUUCCAAACAUGUGUGGUUAUAUCAAUCUUUACACUUUUGUAUGCUAUUACUCAAAUUGAAUGAAAAUCAAACUGCAUUCCAGCUACGUUGCUGUCAUCUAUUAAUUAAUAAUGACAGCACAAUAUAUCAACAAAAUGAAGUAAAUAAGUAGCUAAUGAGCACAGUGAUUUAGCCAAGCAUUUCAGGCAGCUUUCAAGCAACAGCCCAAACAAGAGGGUUAGCACAGAUGUAACUGUGGAUCUGUUUGGUCCGUAUCUUAACAGAAAGGAGUCCUUGCCGUAAGAUAUGCCAUUGUUAGGCAUGUCUUAUAUUUAAGGAUAUAUAAGGAUACAAGCAUAUUAGGAUUCUUUACUGGAUUUUUUCCCCAACACCCCAGGGGUGUUUCCUUCCAAGACAAGAUUGACAGCACUGAUGAAUGAGAGUGCUGAGAAGAUGCUAUUAAUCUGUAUCAUACUUAUUUUGAGAAUCAAGGCUUUCUUUCAAAAACUGCCAAUUCAGUAAGACUCACCAACACAUUCACAUACAAAGAAAGAUAAGGAUACAGCAGGAACGAAGGAAAAGGAGGUUUCAAGGUUUUGCCCUAUUCUGUCUUUUUGAACUUGCAGUCAUAUCGAGGCAAACAGACAAAAAUAGAUGAAAAAGGAAGAAGGAAGUCUAGGUUUCUCAGCAGGAUACAAACUUGCCUUGUGGCCUUUAUAAAGCGGUAAUAAAAGCAUGGAAAAAUCUUCCUGCCAGCGUAUCUCACAGACCUCAGAAAAUUAAAUUAAGUGGUUAGAAAAAGAGCCUUCAGUAUAGUCAUAAGACACCAUCAUUCACUUCAUUCUAUUCCCUGCACCUUCAGUCUACAGGUAGCUUCCUUACAGGUCUGAUUACAACAAGUUUCUUUGCCAGAAACAUUAAAUUUACUUUCUGUUGGCCUGUGUACAGAACAGAGUAAUAACAUUGCCCUUUCUGUCAACAGCUUUUGAUGUGCAGUUUUAAAACAUUUUACUACCUACAUGAAUUACACUGUACUAGGGAUGUAUUGCCUCCAGGUGCUAAUGAAGGAAUUGAAGCCCAGAGGGCUAAUUACACACAGAACUGAGAGCAAGAAUCCAAGCAUCAAAGGCAACAUUUUUGGCCUUGAAAGAGCUCAAGUGAAAUAAGCAAAAGAGGAAUUCCUUGGGGAUCUGUAUAAUAAUAAAAUCUGCCUUGAGGACACAAAUGCAGUUUUUGUACUGCAGCAGAAUCCUGCAGCACACUGAGUAUGAAGGUCUCCAGCCUCAAUCUUGGUAAGACAAGCAGGUGUCACUGAGAACAACCUGUCAUAAAAGCAGUUUGUCUUGGAGGACAAAUUGAGUCUGAGUCAGUAGUGCACCCUUGUGGCAAUUAAGGCUGAUUGCACGUUGGCCUAUAUGACUAAAAGCUACUUAAAGAGGGACUGUGAAGAAUGGAGCCAGAUUCUUCUCCACGGUGCACAGCAAGAUUAUGGGAAGCAAGUUACAAAUUACAGCAAUGCAGAUUGUGAUUAGAUAAAAGGUGAAAAAAAGAAAUCACAGUGAGAACAGCUGAGCACUGGACCAAGUGCACAGAAAGCAAUCUCUGUCUGUGGAGGUUUGCAGAACUCACCCAAACCAAGCUCCCAGCAACCUGAUCUAACUCUCAAACUGGCCCUGCUUUAAAGCAGAGAGGAUGGACCAGAGAUCUCCAAAAGUCCCACCCAACCUGACAUCUUUCUGUAUCUCUAAUAAGUGACCUGAAGAUCUAGUAUCAAUUUCAGUUUAUUUAAACAAUGAACCUAACAAAAUUAUUCUGUACCUUACAUAGGACAAGAGGUCAGUAUUCACUUCCCAUAUACCAGUAAAUAGGGGCCAUGCUUCAGGCCUGAAGUGGCUGUAUUUCAGUCACUUAUCUAAUGUUUAUGAUAUAUGUUGAGGAGGAACUGAUGCUGCGUAAGUAUAACAUUUCUAUCAAAGGCCUUGGCAAUGUGGAUUCUUUCCCACAAGGGAUGGUCUGUUUGGUUAAGAUACCAUGAAACUACUGGUUCUUCUGUUCUAACCUCCAUGUAUCACUGCAUCUCAUCCUUUAACUGAUGUGUUUGUCCUCCUGCACUUAAAAAAAAACAAAAAGCAUAACAGCAAACCAACAAGAAGAAAAAAAAAACCCAACAAACCAACAUCACAAACAUUAAAUUAUGCUGAGGUAAACCUAAGUAGAUUUUUCAGAUGGGGGAAGAAAGAUAAAAUGGAGGAUGCCUGAAUCAGAAACAACAAUGUUGCAAUUAUUUUUCUUGA